UCGACAGCUGAGAGACUAUUUUUUGCUAUGGCUGACUAAAUAUGGUCAGGGAAGAGAGGCACAAGAGAGUCUGUUUGCCUGGGAGUGCAUGUUUCAAAUGCUUAGCUGCCUAUAAAGCUCUAACAGCCUAGGCUGUGGCCACUGAGUCGGGAAGAAUAUAAGUUGGCUUCUGUGGUGACUAUUUGGAAGUCCUGACCUCGCUUGCAGACUUGACCUCUGGAUAUAACAAGGUAGCUUCAUUCCAGAUCUACCACUAACCCUGGAAAUUCAAACUCCUGUUCCUCCAAAAGAAUCCCAAAGCAAGAAAGACGCAGACUACUUCCUGAGGCACCAGAAGAACCCAGUAUAGUCUGGUGGGCACAGGAAGCUGGGUGAAUGGUUACAGCUAUUUGGGAGAAUGUGAGGUAAGGUUCUGUGCUCACUUAUACUGGGUGCUUACUUCACCCAGCUUAUAAAAGAAGUGCUGAGACAGCAGCAGUGUGAAAGACCAGUCAUGAUGCGGUGACUGCGAUGUCACUCUAGGUCACUACAUCUCUUCCCUGCAAGUGCUGCAGGACACUAGGCUCACAGGUAAAUCAAGCACAAGAACCGACUUGGAAGGCUGCUUCUGACUUUCUGCAUGCUUAUCUAAUAUUGACUGAUACAUAUUCUCACUGUUAAAUUAUUUAUAUCUGGGCAUAGGCUAAUUUCAAAGCUCAAAUUGAUAAUUUAGUUUUUAAAAUGCCAUUGUUCAAACAACAUGCCAGAUAACUUCAAAAAUAAACUGCAUCACUAAAGACAUGGUCUUUAUUGUUUUAGAUUAAACAAUUGUUUCAAUUGUGUCUCACUUCUCUAGCAAAUCUGCAUCCCUGCCUCCUGAGCACAACAGCUUCUAAAAGCUACUUCAAGAUUUAGGUUAUGACAUGUCUCCCCUCGCUUACUACUCAGGCCACAGACAUCUGCAUGCUGCUGCAUGAUGCAGGUCUCAGCAGCACACUGACUGAGGCCCGUGUUGGCAGCUCACUAGCUUUCUUCAUGGGCUGCAAACAUCCUAUUCCCCCACUUCCCUCCCAGCACUCCCUCUUCUAUAUUUUACCAAAGCUCAAAGCUUCUCAAUGUCUCCUUCUGAAUUAACCUUCAAAAUGUCUUAGUGACUAUAGGCCACUCCCAAAUUAUUUUUUUCUUGUGCUAAAUAUUCAAGGUAAAACCCAGAGAUUCACAGACUAAAGUGCUUCUCCUCUCUUAUGGAGGAUUUGGAAAAGUUAUUUUAGUACUUUUCCAUUAUAUUAAAAAUCAUUUUUAAAAAGUAAUCUCAUACAAACCGAGCACAUAACUAUUUGAAUUUGCAUUCAAUGCAAACAGAAACAGAACAAAAACUUGGCUAAAUGACUUGUAAUCUGUUACCUUGAAAAUAAAUUUCCAUUUAAGAACAUUAAUUCAAUUAAAUGAAAUGACACAAUGAAAUGACCCAAUUUCAAAGCCUGUCCUAACUGUAACUUGUUUCUUCCAAUAAGUUUUAAGUAGAAGUAUCUGGUUUACAAAAAUAAUUUAGACUAAAUUGAUUAUCAUCUGUCUGUAAAGGAUCUAGAAGCAAAUUAUAAAGAAGAGGGCUACACGACGGAGAGAGCAGCAAGCGUGCUAACAUUUCUGAAUACACUUAGGACGCUGCUGACUGCAUCUCUUGGAAGGAAAAGAAGAAGCAGGGCAAAGCAUGGCAGUGCUUAAAAGAACAAAGCAGAAGUGGCAUCGAUGGGAUCAGAGAAACUUUACUCACAAGUGUCUAAGUGAAAAGAAACUGAAGGAGACAAAACCAGAGGCCAACAUCCACCCAAUUUUCGCAGUAACUACAAGAGAACUACAAAUGGCUCACGUUGCUUACCGAGCACACACAUCAGCAACGGUGAAGGCCCGCAGGCAGGUGCCUGGGUAACCUGGGACGCACGCUAUUCCAAGUAAAGCUGCCUUUCACUGUUUAUCAAUCUUGAUUUACAGCAGAAAUUUUACCCAACUGAGAUAUAAUAACAGGACUAUCUAGGGGAAAACAUCUCUAUAAACAUCAAAUAUCUGGCUGGAGAUAUAACUGAAAAAUGUCUUGCAUAUACAAUGUCCUGGGCUCAAUCUCCAGUACCCCCAAUACAUAAACAAAAACACCAAGUAUCAGAAAAUAUGACCAAUGCUAUUCUAAGUUACAAUUCCUAACCCUACAGAUCAGCUUUUAAAUUUACAAUAUUUUGAUCUGCACCGUCAAGUCCAGGUUUCAAAGCAUACCAUCCAUAAACAUAAGGCACCUAGACAUACAUAUACAUAUAUAUUGGUUUUUCAAGACAGGGUUUCUCUGUAUAGCCCUGGCUGUCC